rnacentral:lncRNA from 12 species
GGGGGGGGGGGGGGGGGGGGGGGGGGGGGGGGGGGGGGGGGGGGGGGGGGGGGGGGGGGGGGGGGGGGGGGGGGGGGGGGGGGGGGGGGGGCCCCCCCCGAGCCCUUUGUGUGACUAAAUUUGGCAGGAGCAUGGAGGCGCGCCAGGGCGCCCACGUGUGCGCCGAGCUCCCAGCUGAGAGAGCCGGGGUUUUCUUCCGGAGUAGCAGUUUUGCCCGUUUGCGUCAACAUUUCCUACUUUCUUGGAGGGGGAAGUUUUGCUCCUGAAUAAAUAAAUGUUAUGCAUGUUCCGGAACGGAUUUUCUCCAUCCCCAAGAGCCAGGAUGCCACACCCAGGGGCAGUGUCUGUGGGCAGGCUUUCAAAGGCCCCUCCAACUGAGUCCUGCUUCUGCACCUCUGGCUUGCACUCGGAAGUGCUGGAACCUAAAUGCCCGUUGUCACCUGAGUGGAAAAUGCAUGGCUUGAGAUUGACCCAAGGGCUGAGCUUCCUUCAAAAUUGCUGUGUGUCAGGAGGAUCCCAAAGAGAGACAUGGGCUGCCAUCAGCCCAUGA